GAGUGAAGGGUUCAAGUGGUGCCCGCCUUGAACCCAUGCGGCCUGGUGCUCAACCUGACCCGCUCGUAAGGGCAUUUC
rfam:Wigeon coronavirus HKT20, complete genome